ensembl:misc_RNA 7SK 7SK RNA
GGAUGUGAGGGCGAUCUGGCUGCGAUAUCUGUCACCACACUGAUUGCCAGCAUUGAUUCAUCGGAUCUGGCUGGUGAGAUAGGCAGUCCCUUCCUCCCUUACCACUCCCUGUGCAUCCUUCCUGAAGCUGCCUGCCAGGUUGAAGAAAACGGACCUUCCCUUCCAGAUAGAGGAUUGUUCUGUCAGGGGUAUAGGAGUAGUUGCUGUCUCCUGCUACAAUCUUCCAACAAGGAUUUUAUAUGAGGAUUUUACUAUAUUCUAAUAUCUAAAGCAUUAUGUCAUUAUAUUAAAGUAGUACAAAAUAAUAUUAAAAU